rnacentral:rRNA from 1 species
CCUACGGGAGGCAGCAGUGAGGAAUAUUGGUCAAUGGACGAGAGUCUGAACCAGCCAAGUAGCGUGAAGGAUGACUGCCCUAUGGGUUGUAAACUUCUUUUAUAUGGGAAUAAAAUGUUCCACGUGUGGGAUUUUGUAUGUACCAUAUGAAUAAGGAUCGGCUAACUCCGUGCCAGCAGCCGCGGUAAUACGGAGGAUCCGAGCGUUAUCCGGAUUUAUUGGGUUUAAAGGGAGCGUAGGUGGAUUGUUAAGUCAGUUGUGAAAGUUUGCGGCUCAACCGUAAAAUUGCAGUUGAAACUGGCAGUCUUGAGUACAGUAGAGGUGGGCGGAAUUCGUGGUGUAGCGGUGAAAUGCUUAGAUAUCACGAAGAACUCCGAUUGCGAAGGCAGUUCACUGGACUGCAACUGACACUGAGGCGCGAAAGUGUGGGUAUCAAACAGGAUUAGAUACCCCUGUAGUC